CCUGAGACAGACAAUUUUUAUUUUAUUUCGUUCAAGUAAAAGCUGCUCACUGAUUAGGCUAAUCUAGAAGUUUCUCUCAGUGUCCCAAUAUGAUGCAAAAGAAAACGGCGAAAAAGAAAGGAAAAGACUGUAAGACCAGAAAAUGAAUGUGAAAAAGAGUUAAAUGCCUUGAUGCUUAAGCAAUUACAGCUCAAUAAAGCUCCACAUUUUCAUAGGGGCAUCGUUUAAAAAACAAAAAAAGCCCUUUGUGGUGAUGAUUUAAGUUACCAGUGCAAAAGCACUCAGGUCCAAAAGGAGUGAGAACCACUUACUGGGAACAGAUUUUUAAUUAUUUUACCACCUGAUAAAAGGAGCACACGCCGAACGUAGGUAUAAAUGUAUUUUCAAAAGAAAACAAAACGCAGUCUAUGCUCGGUAAAGUUCAAGGGCAAAACUGUUUCCAGUGCAACAGAAUCCGCCUGACUACAAUGUGUGUGUGUGUGUGUGGGGGGGGGGGGGGGGCGAAGACAUAGUAUCUUUUUAUAAAGGCAACAAUUUGAGUUACAAAGUAAUAACGGGGAAGCCAAAACAGUUUGACAGCCCGCCAUAAGGGCCGCCUCAAUCAUGAGUCACACAAUGCCUGCAACCAUUUACAAUAGUAAUUAAUGCACAAGUCCCCUAAUUAAAUUCUAAAAGGGUGAGAAUGCUUU
rnacentral:lncRNA from 1 species